rnacentral:rRNA from 1 species
UACGAGUGCCUCAAGCGUUAUCCGGAAUUAUUGGGCGUAAAGGAUGUGUAGGUGGUCGUGUUAGUCUCUUGUUAAAUUCUUCGGCUUAACCGGGGGCAUGCAAGGGAAACGGCACGACUCGAGGAUGCGAGGGGUCUGCGGAACUCAUAGUGUAGCGGUGAAAUGCGUUGAUAUUAUGGGGAACACCAAAAGCGAAGGCAGCAGACUGGAGCACUCCUGACACUGAAACAUGAAAGCGUGGGUCGCGAAUGGG